UAAGGAAUAUUGGUCAAUGGAGGCAACUCUGAACCAGCCAUGCCGCGUGAAGGAUUAAGGCCCUCUGGGUUGUAAACUUCUUUUAUAUGGGAAGAAAUGUACUUUUUCUAAAGUGCUUGACGGUACCAUAGGAAUAAGCACCGGCUAACUCCGUGCCAGCAGCCGCGGUAAUACGGAGGGUGCAAGCGUUAUCCGGAUUUACUGGGUUUAAAGGGCGCGUAGGCGGAUGAAUAAGUCAGUGGUGAAAUCUCCGAGCUUAACUCGGAAACUGCCGUUGAUACUAUUUGUCUUGAAUAUUGUGGAGGUAAGCGGAAUAUGUCAUGUAGCGGUGAAAUGCUUAGAUAUGACAUAGAACACCAAUUGCGAAGGCAGCUUGCUACACAAUCAUUGACGCUGAGGCACGAAAGCGUGGGGAUCAAACA
rnacentral:rRNA from 1 species